rnacentral:rRNA from 1 species
CCUACGGGAGGCAGCAGUAAGGAAUAUUGGACAAUGGACGCAAGUCUGAUCCAGCCAUGCCGCGUGAAGGAUUAAGGCCCUCUGGGUUGUAAACUUCUUUUAUAGGGGACGAAAAAAGGGCUUUCUAGCUCGACUGACGGUACCCUAUGAAUAAGCACCGGCUAACUCCGUGCCAGCAGCCGCGGUAAUACGGAGGGUGCAAGCGUUAUCCGGAUUCACUGGGUUUAAAGGGUGCGUAGGCGGGCAGUUAAGUCAGUGGUGAAAUCUUCGAGCUCAACUCGGAAACUGCCAUUGAUACUAUCUGUCUUGAAUAUUGUGGAGGUGAGCGGAAUAUGUCAUGUAGCGGUGAAAUGCUUAGAUAUGACAUAGAACACCGAUUGCGAAGGCAGCUCGCUACACAAAUAUUGACGCUGAGGCACGAAAGCGUGGGGAUCAAACAGGAUUAGAUACCCUGGUAGUCCACGCCCUAAACUAUGGAUACUCGACAUUUGCGAUACACAGUAAGUGUNUGAGNGAAGACAUAAGUAUCCACCGAGGAGACGACCGACGAGUAGAACGUACGAAGAAGUAGAGGACGNGAGACGNGCGACGGACGACGACGAGGGAGGAGG